AAUGAACGCUGGCGGCGUGCCUAACACAUGCAAGUCGGAUGUGCCGCAAGGUGCAUGGCAGACGGGUGAGUAACGCGUGGGGAAUCUACCUCUUUGUGGGGAAUAACGCUCCGAAAGGAGUGGUAAUACCGCAUGAGACCUUUGGCUGGGAUGCCGGAGGUGAAACCUGGGGACCGCAAGGCCUGGGGCAAGGAGAGGAUCCUGCGUCUGAUUAGCUAGUUGGCGGGGUAAUGGCCCACCAAGGCGACGAUCAGUAGCCGGCCUGAGAGGGUGAUCGGCCACACUGGAACUGAGACACGGUCCAGACUCCUACGGGAGGCAGCAGUGGGGAAUUUUGCGCAAUGGACGAGAGUCUGACGCAGCAACGCCGCGUGGGUGAUGAAGGUCUUCGGACUGUAAAACCCUGUCGUCAGGGACGAAGGUGGCAGGACUAAUAAUUCUGUUACUUGACGGUACCUGGAGAGGAAGCCCCGGCUAACUCUGUGCCAGCAGCCGCGGUAAUACAGAGGGGGCAAGCGUUAUUCGGAAUUAUUGGGCGUAAAGGGCGCGUAGGCGG
rnacentral:rRNA from 1 species